GGGGCUGUAGCUCAGUGGUAGAGUGCUUGCCUCGCAUGCAUGAGGCACUGGGUUUGAUCCUCAGCACCACA
rnacentral:tRNA from 1 species